GUGCCAGCAGCCGCGGUAAGACGAACCGUACGAACGUUAUUCGGAAUUACUGGGCUUAAAGGGUGCGUAGGCGGCGCGGAAAGUAGGGUGUGAAAUCCCUCGGCUCAACCGAGGAACUGCGCUCUAAACUACCGUGCUCGAGGGAGAUAGAGGUGAGCGGAACUGAGGGUGGAGCGGUGAAAUGCGUUGAUAUCCUCAGGAACACCGGUGGCGAAAGCGGCUCACUGGAUCUCUUCUGACGCUGAGGCACGAAAGCUAGGGUAGCGAACGGGAUUAGAUACCCCGGUAGUCC
rnacentral:rRNA from 1 species